rnacentral:rRNA from 1 species
CCUACGGGUGGCUGCAGUGGGGAAUAUUGGACAAUGGGGGGAACCCUGAUCCAGCCAUGCCGCGUGUGUGAAGAAGGCCCUCGGGUUGGAAAGCACUUUCAGUGAGGAAGAACGCCUGGUGGUUAAUACCCAUCAGGAAAGACAUCACUCACAGAAGAAGCACCGGCUAACUCCGUGCCAGCAGCCGCGGUAAUACGGAGGGUGCGAGCGUUAAUCGGAAUUACUGGGCGUAAAGCGCGCGUAGGUGGCUUGAUAAGCCGGUUGUGAAAGCCCCGGGCUCAACCUGGGAACGGCAUCCGGAACUGUCAAGCUAGAGUGCAGGAGAGGAAGGUAGAAUUCCCGGUGUAGCGGUGAAAUGCGUAGAGAUCGGGAGGAAUACCAGUGGCGAAGGCGGCCUUCUGGACUGACACUGACACUGAGGUGCGAAAGCGUGGGUAGCAAACAGGAUUAGAUACCCGUGUAGUC